UACGUAGGGGGCUAGCGUUGUCCGGAAUCAUUGGGCGUAAAGCGCGUGUAGGCGGUUCGGUAAGUCCGCUGUGAAAGUCGGGGGCUCAACCCUCGGAUGCCGGUGGAUACUGUCGGGCUUGAGUACGGAAGAGGCGAGUGGAAUUCCUGGUGUAGCGGUGAAAUGCGCAGAUAUCAGGAGGAACACCAAUUGCGAAGGCAGCUCGCUGGGACGUUACUGACGCUGAGACGCGAAAGCGUGGGGGAGCAAAACAGG
rnacentral:rRNA from 1 species